rnacentral:rRNA from 1 species
UCGGGUUGUAAAGCACUUUUGUCCGGAAAGAAAACCUUCGCUCGAAUACAGUGGGGGGAUGACGGUACCGGAAGAAUAAGCACCGGCUAACUACGUGCCAGCAGCCGCGGUAAUACGUAGGGUGCGAGCGUUAAUCGGAAUUACUGGGCGUAAAGCGUGCGCAGGCGGUUCGUUAAGACAGAUGUGAAAUCCCCGGGCUUAACCUGGGAACUGCAUUUGUGACUGGCGAGCUAGAGUAUGGCAGAGGGGGGUAGAAUUCCACGUGUAGCAGUGAAAUGCGUAGAGAUGUGGAGGAAUACCGAUGGCGAAGGCAGCCCCCUGGGCCAAUACUGACGCUCAUGCACGAAAGCGUGGGGAGCAAACAGGAUUAGAUACCCUGGUAGUCCACGCCCUAAACGAUGUCAACUAGUUGUUGGGGAUUCAUUUCCUUAGUAACGUAGCUAACGCGUGAAGUUGACCGCCUGGGGAGUACGGUCGCAAGAUUAAAACUCAAAGGAAUUGACGGGGACCCGCACAAGCGGUGGAUGAUGUGGAUUAAUUCGAUGCAACGUGAAAAACCUUACCUACCCUUGACAUGGUCGGAACCCUGCUG